rnacentral:lncRNA from 1 species
UGUUUUUCAAAUAUUGCAACAUUAUCUAUCUUCAAAGACAGUAAGAACUACCAGCAAAGUGUCUUCUUCUACUUUCAAAUACCACAUCUCAAUUUUUCUUUUCUUUUCUUGUAUAGAUUUUAUUUAUAAUUAACAAUAACUUUAUACAUUUAAGUAAAAUAUAAGUUAAUUGCUUUAAUUUGAUGUCAUGUUCGAGUCCAUUCUCUUUGAUUUAAGAAGAU